UACGGGGGGAGCAAGCGUUGUUCGGAUUUACUGGGCGUAAAGGGCGCGUAGGCGGCCAGCACAAGUCAGUUGUGAAAUCUCCGAGCUUAACUCGGAAAGGUCAACUGAUACUGUGCGGCUAGAGUGCGGAAGGGGCAACUGGAAUUCUUGGUGUAGCGGUGAAAUGCGUAGAUAUCAAGAGGGACACCUGCGGCGAAGGCGGGUUGCUGGGCCGACACUGACGCUGAGGCGCGAAAGCUAGGGGAGCGAACGGG
rnacentral:rRNA from 1 species